rnacentral:rRNA from 1 species
GACGAACGCUGGCGGCGUGCUUAACACAUGCAAGUCGAACGGAAAGGCCCUGCUUUUGUGGGGUGCUCGAGUGGCGAACGGGUGAGUAACACGUGAGUAACCUGCCCUUGACUUUGGGAUAACUUCAGGAAACUGGGGCUAAUACCGGAUAGGAGCUCCUGCUGCAUGGUGGGGGUUGGAAAGUUUCGGCGGUUGGGGAUGGACUCGCGGCUUAUCAGCUUGUUGGUGGGGUAGUGGCUUACCAAGGCUUUGACGGGUAGCCGGCCUGAGAGGGUGACCGGCCACAUUGGGACUGAGAUACGGCCCAGACUCCUACGGGAGGCAGCAGUGGGGAAUAUUGCACAAUGGGCGGAAGCCUGAUGCAGCAACGCCGCGUGCGGGAUGAAGGCCUUCGGGUUGUAAACCGCUUUCGCCUGUGACGAAGCGCGAGUGACGGUAAUGGGUAAAGAAGCACCGGCUAACUACGUG